GUCGACCGCCCGCGAGAGCCCACCGGCGCAAGGCAACAAACGCUUGCGACCAACCGCGCAUCCGCCGUGAUGGCCGGCGGCUGGCCGGAGUUAGCAGCAGUAGCAGUACCAGCCAAGCGUGCGUGCACUGCAGAUAUAAUCGCCCCGACGCUCUCCACGCACUGUGCGUCAGCGGCCGUACGCAGCACAAUGCACUCCAUCCCUCCCGCUGUCGGUCGAUCCACCGUGCGUCGUCGCCGUCAGCUUCAAAAGCGCCAUGCACGACGACGAGGCGUGCGUGGGUGCAUCAUGCAUGUCGACGGAUCGGUCGCCGGCCGGCCGGUUGGUCCAUGAAGGCGACGUUUUUCCUCUGCUCUCGAUCGAACGUAGGUUAACCAUGGCCGGAGACCCUGAGCGGCGCCGGAUCGAGUUGUGUGGUGCGGAGUCAGGUGUGUGUGCGCGUGUGCACGUACGUACAGGUGCACUGUUGCACAUGGGGGCGGGUGGCGAGGAGGAGGGAAUGCAUGGCGUACUGGUCUGGUACAGCGGCUAGCAGUAGUUGCUGCCCGCAUGAGGCAUUAAAGGCGCUGCUCGAUCGAGGUCAGAUUGCAAUUUUUUUUUUCAAAAACAUCCCAUCAAAGUUUUCGACACACAAUUAAAAGUAUUAAACGCAGUUUAAUUACGAAACAAAUUUUAGAUUAUGCCUGAAAACCGCGAGACGAAUCUUUUAAGUCUAAUU
rnacentral:lncRNA from 1 species